ACAAACGCUGGCGGCGUGCAUAACACAUGCAAGUCGAACGAGAGUAGUGAUACUCGAGUGGCGGACGGGUGAGGAACACGUGGAUAACCAACCCUCGGCUGGGGAAUACCGCUCGGAAACGAGCGCUAAUACCGCAUAAGUUCGAGAGAGAGACAAGCCUUCGGGCGGCGGAGGAUGGGUCUGCGUUCGAUUAGCUAGUAGGUGGGGUAAUGGCCUACCUAGGCGACGAUCGAUAGCUGGUCUGUAGAGGAUGAUCAGCCCACACUGGGAUUGAGAACGGCCCAGAUCCCUACGGGGAGCAGCAGUGAGGAAUCUUCGUCAAAUGGGCGCACAAGCCUGAACGAGCAACGCCGCGUGGAGGACGACGCAUUUCGGUGUGUAAACUCCUUUUCUGUGCGGACGAGAAUGGACGGUACCACAGGAAGAAGCAUCGGCUAACUACGUGCCAGCAGCCGCGGUAAUACGUAGGAUGCAAGCGUUGUCCGGAGUUACUGGGCGUAAAGCGUGUGCAGGCGGCUCUUUGCGUCGGUGGUGAAAUCUCCUGGCUUAACGGGAGGGGGGCCAUCGAUACGGGGGAGCUUGAGGGCUAGAGAGGAAGUAGAACUCCCGGUGGACCAGUGAAAUGGGGUAGAUAUCGGGAAGAAUACCUGAGGUGAAGACGGCUUCCUGGCUAGCACCUGACGCUCAUACACGAAAGCUUGGGGAGCAAACAGGAUUAGAUACCCUGGUAGUCCAAGCUGUAAACGAUGUCCACUAGGUUGUGCGGUGUAUCGACCCCCGCGCGUGCCGGAGCUAACGCACUAAGUGGACCGCCUGGGGAGUACGGCCGCAAGGUUAAAACUCAAAGGAAUUGACGGGGACCCGCACAAGCAGCGAGCGUGUGGUUUAAUUCGAUGCGACGCGAAGAACCUUACCUGGGUUCAAUCUAGUUUGCAACCACCCGUAAUGGGGUGUACCCGCAAGGGACGGACUAGACGGUGCUGCAUGGCUGUCGUCAGCUCGUGCCGUGAGGUGUUGGGUUAAGUCCCCUAACGAGCGCAACCCCCGAUGUCGGUUAUCCAUCCGGCGUGACUGCCGCGCAGAACGCGGAGGAAGGUGGGGAUGGACGUCAAGUCAGCACGGCCCUUACGCCCAGGGCGACACACACGCUACAAUGGCCGGUACAAUGAGUUGCAAACCUGCGAGGGGGAGCUAAUCUAGGAAAGGCCGGUCUCAGUUCGGAUAGUAGGCUGCAACCCGCCUACUUGAAGUCGGAGUUGCACAGUAACCGCAGGUCAGCACACUGCGGUGAAUACGUUCCCGGGUCUUGUACACACCGCCCGUCACACCACGAAAGCGGGGAACCACCUGAAGCCGGGUAGUGAAACCUUUUGGACACAGCCUGUCGAGGGUGGGCUUCGUGAUUGGGGUG
rnacentral:rRNA from 1 species